rnacentral:rRNA from 1 species
AGAGUUUGAUCAUGGCUCAGAUUGAACGCUGGCGGCAGGCUUAACACAUGCAAGUCGAGCGGAGUGAUGGUGCUUGCACUAUCACUUAGCGGCGGACGGGUGAGUAAUGCUUAGGAAUCUGCCUAUUAGUGGGGGACAACAUUUCGAAAGGAAUGCUAAUACCGCAUACGUCCUACGGGAGAAAGCAGGGGAUCUUCGGACCUUGCGCUAAUAGAUGAGCCUAAGUCGGAUUAGCUAGUUGGUGGGGUAAAGGCCUACCAAGGCGACGAUCUGUAGCGGGUCUGAGAGGAUGAUCCGCCACACUGGGACUGAGACACGGCCCAGACUCCUACGGGAGGCAGCAGUGGGGAAUAUUGGACAAUGGGCGCAAGCCUGAUCCAGCCAUGCCGCGUGUGUGAAGAAGGCCUUAUGGUUGUAAAGCACUUUAAGCGAGGAGGAGGCUACUGAAGUUAAUACCUUCAGAUAGUGGACGUUACUCGCAGAAUAAGCACCGGCUAACUCUGUGCCAGCAGCCGCGGUAAUACAGAGGGUGCAAGCGUUAAUCGGAUUUACUGGGCGUAAAGCGCGCGUAGGCGGCUAAUUAAGUCAAAUGUGAAAUCCCCGAGCUUAACUUGGGAAUUGCAUUCGAUACUGGUUAGCUAGAGUGUGGGAGAGGAUGGUAGAAUUCCAGGUGUAGCGGUGAAAUGCGUAGAGAUCUGGAGGAAUACCGAUGGCGAAGGCAGCCAUCUGGCCUAACACUGACGCUGAGGUGCGAAAGCAUGGGGAGCAAACAGGAUUAGAUACCCUGGUAAUCCAUGCCGUAAACGAUGUCUACUAGCCGUUGGGGCCUUUGAGGCUUUAGUGGCGCAGCUAACGCGAUAAGUAGACCGCCUGGGGAGUACGGUCGCAAGACUAAAACUCAAAUGAAUUGACGGGGGCCCGCACAAGCGGUGGAGCAUGUGGUUUAAUUCGAUGCAACGCGAAGAACCUUACCUGGCCUUGACAUAGUAAGAACUUUCCAGAGAUGGAUUGGUGCCUUCGGGAACUUACAUACAGGUGCUGCAUGGCUGUCGUCAGCUCGUGUCGUGAGAUGUUGGGUUAAGUCCCGCAACGAGCGCAACCCUUUUCCUUAUUUGCCAGCGAGUAAUGUCGGGAACUUUAAGGAUACUGCCAGUGACAAACUGGAGGAAGGCGGGGACGACGUCAAGUCAUCAUGGCCCUUACGGCCAGGGCUACACACGUGCUACAAUGGUCGGUACAAAGGGUUGCUACCUAGCGAUAGGAUGCUAAUCUCAAAAAGCCGAUCGUAGUCCGGAUUGGAGUCUGCAACUCGACUCCAUGGAGUCGGAAUCGCUAGUAAUCGCGGAUCAGAAUGCCGCGGUGAAUACGUUCCCGGGCCUUGUACACACCGCCCGUCACACCAUGGGAGUUUGUUGCACCAGAAGUAGGUAGUCUAACCGCAAGGAGGACGCUUACCACGGUGUGGCCGAUGACUGGGGUGAAGUCGUAACAAGGUA